ACUUGGAAACAGGUGCUAAUACCGCAUAACAGUUUAUGCCGCAUGGCAUAAGAGUGAAAGGCGCUUUCGGGUGUCGCUGAUGGAUGGACCCGCGGUGCAUUAGCUAGUUGGUGAGGUAACGGCUCACCAAGGCCACGAUGCAUAGCCGACCUGAGAGGGUGAUCGGCCACACUGGGACUGAGACACGGCCCAGACUCCUACGGGAGGCAGCAGUAGGGAAUCUUCGGCAAUGGACGAAAGUCUGACCGAGCAACGCCGCGUGAGUGAAGAAGGUUUUCGGAUCGUAAAACUCUGUUGUUAGAGAAGAACAAGGACGUUAGUAACUGAACGUCCCCUGACGGUAUCUAACCAGAAAGCCACGGCUAACUACGUGCCAGCAGCCGCGGUAAUACGUAGGUGGCAAGCGUUGUCCGGAUUUAUUGGGCGUAAAGCGAGCGCAGGCGGUUUCUUAAGUCUGAUGUGAAAGCCCCCGGCUCAACCGGGGAGGGUCAUUGGAAACUGGGAGACUUGAGUGCAGAA
rnacentral:rRNA from 1 species